GGAAGACUUCAUCGUAUGAGUUGUUUUCUGCUGUGGUUUGUUUUGUUUUUGAAGUCGGGUUCAAGUAGAUCAAAACGAUACCCUCCAAGGAUUCUAGACAGAUUAUGAUGAGGAAAUCCGUAUUUUUAUGGGAUUAGAUGAAAAUUACCUAAAACCUAUGACGGUAAUUCAAUCAGAAUUCAAAUGAAAGAUGCAGAGUAGACGUGGCGGAACAGAUAUGUCUAGAAGCCGAGCCGACAGCGGCACCCGGCUUCACACAUUAGAGCCGCAGAUCGAAUCCUGCACAGACCGUCUCCAGGACGUACUGAGGUCCACGAUACCUCUCGAGCUUGUAGAGCAUAAGAAGACUUUUCUUUUUUAAAUAAUUGUGAAUGCUUUUAAAAUGCCAUUCUCUUAUCUAUGACCACGGUUGUAAGGUUGGUGAGCAAUUUUACCUCAUUACUAGCACGAAUCUUCAGUGCAUACGGUCAUAAAAGACCUUACGUAUUGCGAGAUUCUGCUUGCAAAUCUCGUCAUUAUUAUAUAGUCUGAGAUGCUAAGCAAAGAAAUUGUGCUAUAGUUAGACAAAGUGUAGGGCUUCGAGCGUGCGUUUAAAUUUCAAGCUGGUUAGUUGAUUAGUCGCCAGAGACUUUGAAUCACUAAACUUCGUUCGCUUAUUCUUUUGAAUCGAAAGAUGUCAUCAAACCUACCCUGCUUAAUGUGAUAUAGGUAGGUUAAAUAUGUAAGGUUCCAAAGAUCGAUAUUGCUUAAAAACAGCCCCGUAAUGCUGAUGAUGCUUGGAACGGCAAGCAAUCCUCAAGCACCGAAACUAUUCCCCUAAAACUUAGAAACUGAGAAAAUGUAGGGGAUAUAUCCAAUGAAAUGAAUUAUUAUGCAGCAUUAAUUGAACUAUGCAACAAUACAUUUUACUCAAUACUUUACGACAUAAUGAGCUGGGGGUGAUUUUUUAAUUGAAUCUUAUUCUCUAUCGAAACGUUUUUUUUUUUACAAAAAUUUAUUCCAAUUGGGCUUCAUAGACAAAUCAACCAUGUAAAUGUAGAAAGGUCCUAACCUUUAUUUGUGUUUGACAAGCCUGCCAGCAGUUCUUGAUUGAAUUUUUAAACCAAGUACAUACUACUAAACAUUUCAACAAACUUGUGUAGAAAUUUACUAAACAUAGAUCUAUUUAUUUAUAUAAAAAGCUUAUAAAAGAGGAAACCCUCUUAAAAAACAUA